UACGAAGGGGGCUAGCGUUGUCCGGAAUCAUUGGGCGUAAAGCGCGCGUAGGUGGCUUCGUAAGUCCGUUGUGAAAGUCAAAGGCUCAACCUUUGAAAGCCGAUGGAUACUGCGGAGCUAGAGUACGGAAGAGGCGAGUGGAAUUCCUGGUGUAGCGGUGGAAUGCGCAGAUAUCAGGAGGAACACCAAUAGCGAAGGCAGCUCGCUGGGACGUUACUGACACUGAGGCGCGAAAGCGUGGGGAGCGAACAGG
rnacentral:rRNA from 1 species